CCUACGGGAGGCAGCAGUCGAGAAUCAUUCACAAUGGGGGAAACCCUGAUGGUGCGACGCCGCGUGGGGGAAUGAAGGUCUUCGGAUUGUAACCCCCUGUCAUGUUGGAGCAAAUUAAGAAGAUAGUACCACAAGAGGAGGAGACGGCUAACUCUGUGCCAGCAGCCGCGGUAAUACAGAGGGCUCUAGCGUUAUUCGGAAUCACUGGGCGUAACGGGUGCGUAGGCUGUUUCGUAAGUCGUGUGUGAAAGGCGCUGGCUCAACCCGCGGACGGCAUAUGAUACUGUGAGACUAGAGUGAGGGAGAGGGAAGCGGAAUUCUUGGUGUAGGAGUGAAAUGCGUAGAUAUCGAGAGGAACACUCGUGGCGAAGGCGGGUUCCUGGACAUUAACUGACGCUGAGGCACGAAGGCGAGGGGAGCGAAAGGGAUUAGAUACCCUAGUAGUC
rnacentral:rRNA from 1 species